rnacentral:rRNA from 1 species
GUGCGAGCGUUAAUCGGAAUUACUGGGCGUAAAGAGCGUGUAGGCGGUUUGGUAGGUCCGUUGUGAAAACUCGAGGCUCAACCUCGAGACGCCGGCGGAAACCAUCAGGCUAGAGUCCGGAAGAGGAGAGUGGAAUUCCUGGUGUAGCGGUGAAAUGCGCAGAUAUCAGGAAGAACACCCGUGGCUAAGGCGGCUCUCUAGUACGGUACUGACGCUGAGACGCGAAAGCGUGGGGAGCGAACAGG